UUAUCGGAGGUCGUCGCCACUGUUGCCAAAUAAACAUCCCUUUGAAGCUUUUGGUUUUAUUUUCCGAUUCGGAGAUUUAUCGGAGGUCGUCGCCACUGUUGCCAAAUAAACAUCCAUUUGAAGCUUUUGGUUUUAUUUUCCGAUUCGGAGAUUUAUCCGAGGUCGUCGCCACUGUUGCCAAAUAAAC